UACAGAGGGGGCAAGCGUUAUUCGGAAUUAUUGGGCGUAAAGGGCUCGUAGGCGGUUUGUCACGUCGGGAGUGAAAACUCAGGGCUCAACCCUGAGCGUGCUUCCGAUACGGGCAGACUAGAGGUAUGCAGGGAGAACGGAAUUCCUGGUGUAGCGGUGGAAUGCGCAGAUAUCAGGAGGAACACCGGUGGCGAAGGCGGUUCUCUGGGCAUGACCUGACGCUGAGGAGCGAAAGCAUGGGGAGCGAACAGG
rnacentral:rRNA from 1 species